rnacentral:rRNA from 1 species
CCCUUAGAGUUUGAUCCUGGCUCAGGAUGAACGCUGGCGGCGUGCCUAAUACAUGCAAGUCGAACGAAUCUCUUUUAGAGAUGAGUGGCGAACGGGUGAGUAAUACAUAGGUAACCUGCCCCUGUGCGGGGGAUAACAGGAGGAAACUCCUGCUAAUACCGCAUAGCCAUGAGCACCGCAUGGAGCUCAUGCCAAAUAUCCUUUCGGGGAUAGCGCAGGGAUGGACCUAUGGCGCAUUAGCUUGUUGGCGGGGCAACGGCCCACCAAGGCAACGAUGCGUAGCCGGCCUGAGAGGGCGGACGGCCACAUUGGGACUGAGACACGGCCCAGACUCCUACGGGAGGCAGCAGUAGGGAAUUUUCGGCAAUGGGGGAAACCCUGACCGAGCAACGCCGCGUGAGCGAAGAAGGCCUUCGGGUCGUAAAGCUCUGUUGUAAAGGAAGAACGGCGCAUACAGGAAAUGGUAUGCGAGUGACGGUACUUUACCAGAAAGCCACGGCUAACUACGUGCCAGCAGCCGCGGUAAUACGUAGGUGGCGAGCGUUAUCCGGAAUCAUUGGGCGUAAAGAGGGAGCAGGCGGCCGCAAGGGUCUGUGGUGAAAGACCGAAGCUAAACUUCGGUAAGCCAUGGAAACCGGGCGGCUAGAGUGCGGAAGAGGAUCGUGGAAUUCCAUGUGUAGCGGUGAAAUGCGUAGAUAUAUGGAGGAACACCAGUGGCGAAGGCGACGGUCUGGGCCGCAACUGACGCUCAUUCCCGAAAGCGUGGGGAGCAAAUAGGAUUAGAUACCCUAGUAGUCCACGCCGUAAACGAUGGUCACUAAGUGUCGGGGGUCAAACCCCGGUGCUGCAGUCAACGCAAUAAGUGACCCGCCUGAGUAGUACGUUCGCAAGAAUGAAACUCAAAGGAAUUGACG